GAUGAAGAACGCAGCGAAAUGCGAUAAGUAAUGUGAAUUGCAGAAUUCAGUGAAUCAUCGAAUCUUUGAACGCACCUUGCGCUCCUUGGUAUUCCGAGGAGCAUGCCUGUUUGAGUGUCAUGAAACCCUCAAACCCAAGUUUUGGAUUUCGAUCCAUGCUUGAGUUUGGAUUUGGAUGUUUGCCGGUGAUGAACCGACUCAUCUUAAAAGUAUUAGCUUGGAUCUGUCUAUAUGACUGGUUUGACUUGGCAUAAUAAGUAUUUUGCUGAGGACAUCUUCGGAUGGCCAGGACCUAGACUACUGUCUGCUAACUAAACCAUCACUUUAAGUGCAUCUUUGGAUGUUACUCAUUGUGUAACUUUGACAUCUGGCCUCAAAUCAAGUGGGACUACCCGCUGAACUUAAGCAUAUCAAUAAGCGGAGGA
rnacentral:misc_RNA from 1 species